rnacentral:rRNA from 1 species
AUACGUAGGGUGCGAGCGUUGUCCGGAAUUACUGGGCGUAAAGAGCUCGUAGGUGGUUUGUCGCGUCGUCUGUGAAAUUCCGGGGCUUAACUCCGGGCGUGCAGGCGAUACGGGCAUAACUUGAGUACUGUAGGGGAGACUGGAAUUCCUGGUGUAGCGGUGAAAUGCGCAGAUAUCAGGAGGAACACCGGUGGAGAAGGCGGGUCUCUGGGCAGUAACUGACGCUGAGGAGCGAAAGCAUGGGUAGCGAACAGGAUUAGAUACCCUGGUAGUCCAUGCCGUAAACGGUGGGCGCUAGGUGUAGGGGUCUUCCACGACUUCUGUGCCGUAGCUAACGCAUUAAGCGCCCCGCCUGGGGAGUACGGCCGCAAGGCUAAAACUCAAAUGAAUUGACGGGG